rnacentral:rRNA from 1 species
ACUCCUACGGGAGGCAGCAGUGGGGAAUAUUGCACAAUGGGCGCAAGCCUGAUGCAGCCAUGCCGCGUGUAUGAAGAAGGCCUUCGGGUUGUAAAGUACUUUCAGCAGUGAGGAAGGUGGAGUCGUUAAUAGCGGCCUCAUUUGACGUUAGCUGCAGAAGAAGCACCGGCUAACUCCGUGCCAGCAGCCGCGGUAAUACGGAGGGUGCGAGCGUUAAUCGGAAUUACUGGGCGUAAAGCGCAUGCAGGUGGUUUGUUAAGUCAGAUGUGAAAGCCCGGGGCUCAACCUCGGAAUUGCAUUUGAAACUGGCAGGCUAGAGUCUUGUAGAGGGGGGUAGAAUUUCAGGUGUAGCGGUGAAAUGCGUAGAGAUCUGAAGGAAUACCAGUGGCGAAGGCGGCCCCCUGGACAAAGACUGACGCUCAGAUGCGAAAGCGUGGGGAGCAAACAGGAUUAGAUACCCUGGUAGGAUAGCG